GAUGAACGCUGGCGGCGUGCCUAAUACAUGCAAGUCGAACGGACAGACGAGGAGCUUGCUCCUCUGACGUUAGCGGCGGACGGGUGUGUAACACGUGUAUAACCUACCUAUAAGACGGGGAUAACUUCGGGAAACCGGAGCUUAUUCCGGAUAAUCUUUUUAACUGCAUGGUUUAGUAGUGAAAGACGGUUUUGCUGUCGCUUAUAGAUGGUUCCGCGCCGCAUUAGCUAGUUGGGAAGGUAACGGCUUACCAGGGCAACCAUGCGUAGCCGAACGGAGAGGGUGAUCGGCCACACUGGAACUGAGACACGGUCCAGACUCCUACGGGAGGCAGCAGUAGGGAAUCUUCCGCAAUGGGCGAAAGCAUGACGCAGCAACGCCGCGUGAGUGAUGAAGGUCUUCGGAUCGUAAAGCUCUCUUAUUGGGGAAGAACAAAUGUGAGCGUAAAUAUGCACUUCUUGACGGUACCUAAUCAGAAAGCAACGGCUAACUACGUG
rnacentral:rRNA from 1 species